AGUGAACGCUGGCGGUAGGCCUAACACAUGCAAGUCGAACGGCAGCACAGUAAGAGCUUGCUCUUACGGGUGGCGAGUGGCGGACGGGUGAGGAAUACAUCGGAAUCUACUUUUUCGUGGGGGAUAACGUAGGGAAACUUACGCUAAUACCGCAUACGACCUACGGGUGAAAGCAGGGGAUCUUCGGACCUUGCGCGAUUGAAUGAGCCGAUGUCGGAUUAGCUAGUUGGCGGGGUAAAGGCCCACCAAGGCGACGAUCCGUAGCUGGUCUGAGAGGAUGAUCAGCCACAAUGGAACUGAGACACGGUCCAGAAUCCUACGGGAGGCAGCAGUGGGGAAUAUUGGACAAUGGGCGAAAGCCUGAUACAGCCAUACCGCGUGGGUGAAGAAGGCCUUCGGGUUGUAAAGCCCUUUUGUUGGGAAAGAAAAGCAGCAGGUUAAUACCCCGCUGUUCUGACGGUACCCAAAGAAUAAACACCGGCUAACUUCGU
rnacentral:rRNA from 1 species